rnacentral:lncRNA from 1 species
AACCGGGGCCUCGCUCCCGCCUCAGACCGGCGGGCAGACCCGGAGCUAGGCCCUCUGGCUCCCAGCAGUCACCCCCGGAAGCGCGGGGAAAGGGCCGGUGGUGUUCACGGUCACCGUGCUUUGUGCCCGAAGCCCGUGCGCCUUCGAAGACCAAGGUGAGGACCCGCGGAGGAAGGGCGAGCGCCGCUGCUUUGAAACACCCGAUGAACCUGCUGAUGUAGGGGGACACUCAUAUUUUCCACCCCCAGCCGCGACCUCCCCACCGUCUCCUUUAUUUCUCGUUUUUCUCUCUUUUAGCUCGUCCGCGCUCAGAUCCAGUCAUCUGGAGUUUUUCGCAGGUGAACUAAGGCCUGGUGGUGGUGGUGGUGGUGGUUUAGUCGCAGAGUCGUGGCCGACUCUUUGCGACCCCUUGGACUGUAGCCCACCAGGCUCCUCUCUCUGUCCAUGGGAUUUUCCAGGCAAGAAUACAGAAGUGAAUUGCCAUUUUUUUCUCUUGGGGAUCUUCCCAACCCAGGGAUUGAACUUGAGUCUCCUGCAUUGCAGGCGGAUUCUUGACCAACUGAGUCACCAGAGAAGCUCCAAUAAGACCUGGGAAGCGCUAGUGAGUUGCUGCAAAUUGAAUUUUAUAGACUGCUACAGGCACAGUGGCAUAUUUAGGGGGGAAAAAAUCCAAGUAUACUCCCCAAUUAAGCUUUACGUGUGUGUGUGUGUUGGUGAUGGUUUAGUCCUUAAGUCGUGUCCGGCUCUUUGUGACCUCAUGGACUGUAGCCCAGCAGGCGCCUCUGUCCAUGGGGUUUCCCAGGUACACGAAAACUGGAGUGGGUUGUCAUUUCCUUCUCCAGGGGAUCUUCCUAACCGAGGGUUGGAGCUCAGGUCUCCUGCUUCGCAGGUGGAUUCUUUACCAACUGAGCCACCAGGGAAGCACAAAUAAAGGCCUCGGGGCAAGGCGGGCGGGGCGCUAAAUGAUUUGCUGCAAAUUGAAUUUUAUAGACUGCUACAGACUCAGUGGCAACAUGGGC